ensembl:lncRNA
CCAUUUUGGCCUCAUCUGACCAGGGUACCCUCUUCAAGUCAUAAUUAGAAUUACGUUUGGCAAACCCCAAGCGCUUGUGUCUUGGGGUCAGAAAGGGCUUUCUUCUGGCAACCCUUCCAUAGAGCCUGUGGUUGUGGAGGUGGCGUCUGAUGGUGCUUUCUUCUGGUAACCCUUCCAAAGUGCCUGUGGAGUCUGAUGGUGCUUUCUUCUGCAACCCUUCCAAAGAGCCUGUGGUUGUGGAGGUGGCGUCUGAUGGUGCUUUCUUCUGGUAACCCUUCC